GUAAUUGUAGUGCCAUGAGAUUUACCCAAGGUGCUGUUGAUUUAAAAGAGCCUCUUAAAUUAAAAGGAGGAGGGGAGAAAUAUCCCUCCUGGUGAUAUCAGGAAAGCCUGGAGAAAUCAGGGAGACCUGUUAGAAAGCAGUUGCAAUUAUCACGGAGGACAGAAGAUAAAAUAUUAAAAACCUCCUCAACCUGGACAGUGUGGCUUCACUGGCAACUGCAGUAAUAUCAUUCUGGCACUCAGUCCUGCAGAAAGCGUCUUCUUCUCCAUCAGCUCAAGCAAGUGACUCAGAACUGAACCUCAUCUCUCCUGCUGGCCUGCUGGUCAUGCUCAGUCUGGAGUUAAUCCCUGAGGCUAAGGUUUGCACUGAUUGAUUUAGUCAGAGUCAUAUGCUGGAAUCACAUGGCCUGGAUUGGAAUCGACUCGAAGCACAAUUUAAGAAUAAGUGUAGCACUGGCUCCUUCAGAGUCAGACUGGGAUAUUCAUGACACGCAAAAGAUGGAUGUCAGUGGUAAACACAGUAAACGGCCAGAGGAACUAUUUAAAAUACCUGUGAUUACAUUACAUGUGUUGACUAUAAACUUUUUGGAAAGUUGAGAAAAUUAUAAAGGCACAAAGAGAAGUCACCAGCCAUCUCACAACUCUGAGAAAACCAACAUUAACAUUCAAACCUAUUUCCUUCCUGUAUUUUUAAAAAAAUUUCUUUUGUUGCAUUGACGAUUGUCAAUUAUGUAACCUGUCUUCAUUUAACAAACAUAUUG
ensembl:lncRNA